rnacentral:lncRNA from 1 species
CAAGGGGGUACAACGGCAGACGUGGACAGCGCCAGGCCCACUCAGCCCUUGGGACAGCGCACGCUUAGAGAAAGGGAGAGCCGGGGAUACGAAUCCAGCGGCUUCGCAGAGACAGAUGGAGGUGAUCAUCCUUCACUUCCUGCUGGGCUUCCUGGUGCCCGUGGCCAUCAUUGGGACCUGCACCCACCUCAUCCGAACCAGGCUCCGACAGAAGGGUUGGGUCCACACCAGCCGGCCGAAGAGGUUGUUGGUGGUGCUGAUGCUCAUCCUCUGGGCCACCUUCUCCUUGGGCUGCCUCAACAGCUGUCUCAACCCCUUCCUCUAUGUCUUCAUCGGCAGAGAUUUCCGGGAAAGGUGCUUCCAGUCUUUGUCUUCUACCUUGGCCAAGGCGUUCGGUGACGAGGGUUUCAUCAGUCAUAUUGUCCCUGAGGUGAAGCCCUCAGGGAAUGAUGGUUCUGGUCAGGUAGAAGUCACAAAUGUCCCUUCUUAGUUUGUGACCCUGGCAAGUCCUGCCUCCUCUUGCAGGAGUUCUCCCUAGCAACUCUCCAUCAAAAGCUCUGUAGUAAAGGCAUCUAGGUUUCCCACCUUCUUUUAUAAGAGGACUUCUUAGCCUGGCAUGGUGGUGCACUCCUGUAAUCCCAGCACUCGGGAGGCUGAGGCAGGAGGAUUGUUGCGAGUUGGAGACCAGCCAGGGCUACAAAGUGAGCUCAAGGCCAGCCUGAACUGCAUGGCGAGAUCCUGUCUUAAAAAGACCAAAAAAAAAAAAAAAAAAAAAAGGAUUUUUUUUUUGUCUUAAACUGGCCGUAUGGGUAACCAGAAAAAAAUGAACAGAAAGGAAGACAAAGGAAAGACUACAUUUCCCAAUAGCCUUUGCAAGAAAAUGCAACCAUGUGACUGCUUUCUGGCCAAUAAGCUGUGAGUGAAAGUAAUUAAUGCAACUUCUUUGAAAUGCUUUGAGUGAAAGAGGCCUGCCCUCCACUCUGUUAUUUGACUAGAUAGUGGAUGUGUCAGUUUGGUUUUGCUGUGUAAGAAAUAUCCCCAAAAUUCAGAGGCUUAAAAUAUAACCUUGCAUGAUUUUUUUAUAGGUCUGGAAUUUGGGCUGGGCUGAGCUGAAUAUGUUUCUGGCCUUGGUUGAGGUCCCCCGUGCCCCUGGGGACCACUGAACAGUUGGUUCGGGGAGAGAGGGCUGGCUUUCAGCCGGGAAACUAGCCUUGGCUUUUCACAUAGCCGGAGUCUUUUGAGGUAGUAGCUGGGGAGGGUUUUAAGAGUGAGAGGAGAGCGGGCUGGGGAUUUAGCUCAGCAGCACAGCGUCUGCCUGGCAAGCGUGAGGUCGUGAGUUCGAUUCCCAGUACAAAAAAAAAAAAAAAAAAAAAAAACAGUGAGAGGAGAAGCGCGAGGCAGAGGCUCACAAGCCCAGCCUAGAUCCCGGU